rnacentral:rRNA from 1 species
CCCUUAGAUGUUCUGGGCUGCACACGCGCUACACUGAAGGGAUCAGCGUGUUCUUUUCCUGGUCCGAAAGGAUCGGGUAACCCGCUGAACCCCCUUCGUGGUAGGGAUCGGAGCUUGCAAUUAUUCUCCGUGAACCAGGAAUUCCCAGUAAGCGCAAGUCAUAAGCUUGCGUUGAUUACGUCCCUGCCCUUUGUACACACCGCCCGUCGCUACUACCGAUUGAAUGGUCCGGUGAAGCGUUCGGACCGUGGCCUUUGGACGGUUCGCCGUCUGUUGGCUGCGGGAAGUUCGUUAAACCUUAUCAUUUAGAGGAAGGAGAAGUCGUANCA